GGUUCCUGGCCCACGGUCCUGGCGGCAGCAGUUGGAAGAGCCGAGGCGAGGGCGCCGAUCCCGUACUGCGAGGGGAGGCGGAGAGAUGGGGCAAUUGACUAUUGCUAACAAGUUAGCCUUGAUCGAGGAGUCAUCAAUUAUCUGCAGCGGCACUUCUGUCUCUCUUUCUCCGUCUUUUUCCUCUCUUCUCUCUGUUCUCUCCUCCCGUUCUCUCCCUCCCUCUCUCCCUCCCUCUUCUCUCUUCUCUGCUCCCCCCGUCUCUCUCCUUCGCUCCCUCUCCCUCGUCCUCUCUUUCACUCUCUGUCUGUCCAAUGCAGGCGGCUCUAAGUUGGGAAGCUCAUUAAUUAGCGGGCCUGGGGUAGGAGGAGCCGGCUGGAAUUAGCCUGCCUAAUGCGCCUGUCAGUCCGGGCGCUGCGCCGCGCUCGGCCCGAGCUGUUUGUAAAUUACAUUAGCCGCGCCUUUAUUGCACCCGAACCUCCGGCGACUGGAAAGCCGCCGCCCCCACCCCAAACUGCGAGCCGCCCUCCCGGAGCACCCGCCUCCCGCCGGCCUGGCUGUGAUGGCAGCGCUGGCCCGGAGGUCUCGGGCUCUCCAACCCGGGAUUUUGCGCCCGAGAAGGGCGGCAAGAGCACAGCCAGGGAGGUAUGCAGCCGCCGCGCGGGCCAGUCUGUUCAUCUCUCCACACCUGAUACUGGUCUGCAAGACAGGAUCGCAAGGACAACCCUGCUCCUCCCAUCUCCCGGUCCCUCAGGAACAGCAGAAUUCAGGAUUAUUGUGAGGUUGCCAGGAAGACUCCCAUCCUAUUCUGAGCCCAGAAGCCGAGAGGAAGAACAGACAGAAGGAGGAGAGAGAUGGGCCAGUAGGAGUGGCAGGAAAUACACCUCUUCCCCAGUAGCCCAGGGGACUAUGAAGAGGGUAAAGUAUAGGGGCCGGGGGUGGUGGGAUGGGGGGAGUAGUGUCUGGUUUUGUCCCAUGGGGAGUAGCAUUUGAAAUGAGCCAUAAGAAUCCAGAAGCACUGGGGUAGGUCCAGAAGUGAGGACGACUUUCCUGGUAAGCAGAGAAGCUGAGCAGGAGGCCAGAAGUCCCAACCCAGAAGGGGAGAAAGAGUGCCCCUCACUCCCUGGCCUGGGCAUCAAGCUGCUGAGGUUGGUUAGUCCCCUGUGCACCUCAGCAGGUCUGCAGCCUGGGACAUGGGCUGGUAAGCUCUUGGGAUGGUUGUUUGGGACUGCAGGGGGGAGUUGGGAACAGGCUGCACCCCAGUCCUUGCUGGUCCUGGGUCCACAAUAGGGGUUCCAUUCACUAUGCCGCUAUGCCAUCUACGGAAGCACCAAGAACUGAUUUCCUACUAAACCUAACUCCUGGGUCCCUGAGCUCCCCAAACCGCUAAUGGUGGUCAGGCUACCACAGAAGUCUCUGCCUGUGGGAGGGCGCCAGGCAGAGGAGCCUGGGCCAGGCCAGGUGGAUGGGGGAGGAACCUAAGCGGUGCGGGGGGAGGAGACCUAGGAGCCGGCCAGCGAGCGUGGUUAGCCGGGCUCCAGAAAGGCCUGAGUCAGGCUUCUUAUAAUAAACUGCACGUGAAUAAUUCAGCAGCCGCGCGGGAGCUCAUUGCAUUAGCGCCUCACCUUUCGGCUGAGGGGAAGGGGGGGUCACUAACGCGCUUGAUGAGGGAGCCAGAUGGAAGACUCAUGCCCACUAGCAUCCUGGGUUCUGCCCGGCCCAAUCCCAGGAGACUCAUUGGUCCCCCCAAUCCCUCCGGCCCCAUCCGGUCAGAGGGCGCCUACUGGGCAGGGCUGUCCCAGCGAAGCCGCUCUGAAGACCCCAGGCAAGAGUAAACAGGCAGCGGGACCAGGGCCGGAAUAGGGGAGGAGGGGGCCCGACCUGUGGGCAAGGGAGCUGCGGCAGUGCCCAGUCGCGCAGAGAACGUGGGCGAUGUGGCUCUGAGCAAAGAGAAGGCGGGCUCCUGUGCUCAGAGCCCGAGUGCCCAGGGGCUGCUUCGUCUGGGCCGGGAUUUUCCUUGUGCUCAGAAUGGAGCUCCAGGGAAGCUGCGGGACUUUUUACCCGCGGUGGAUCCCCAGGUUGCGCUUCUUCCCCGACCCCACGCCCACUGACCCACCGAGCCACCGACCCAUCCACCCCCUAGAUCCAGUUCUCGAGGCGGCAGCCCACCCUCGCGCCCCCACCUCGUGUCAGCCGGCGCUGAAGGGAGCACCGGAGGCCAUUAGGCCCGUUGUUCUCCGACUCUUUGAGACCCCAUUGACUGCAGCACGCCAGGCUUCCCUGUCCUUCACCAUCUCCUGGAGCUUGCUCAAAUUCAUGUUCAUUGAGUCGGUGUUGUCAUCCAACCAUCUCGUUCUCUGUCUUCCCCUUCUCCUCCUGCCUUCAGUCUUUCCCAGCAUCGGGGUCUUGUCUAAAUGCACACCAUCUUCAACCUUAUUUCGUUUGAGCAGAGCCAGCUUCCUCUGGCUUUUCCACUUUCCACCAGCCCCUGGGUUUCUGAUCUUGAGGGUUCGCAUUCAUCCCGUCCAACAUCCACUGUCGCUUGAUUCCUCCGGCUCUUCUCCAGAGCCGUUCACUUUCAGGCAGUCGGCCCCGCCCUCUCUCCAUCAGCCUCCCCACUCCUACGAAGUGAACCUCGGGCCGCCGGAGACCCUCGCGCUGACACCGCUGGCCCUUCAGUGCCGGCGCGACCGAGGCCCUAGUCUGGUCUCUGGAGGUCUUGGGCAGCCCGACGAGAAGUCCGGCCGAAGACACCUCGCGUCCCUCCUUCCCUGCUUAUCCCUCCUUCCACCCCAGCAGAAUCCUUGUCUUCUGCCGCCGCCGCCUCCUCUUCCUCCGCCUCUACGCAUUUGUUUUUCUUGAUUCGGUGCCUUGGGCUUCCGGAGGCCAGGCCGCUGGGGACGAGGCAGCCUGGGGUGUCUUUGCAGAGGCAAGUGAGAUGGACUGAUGGCACCUGGACCCCAGACAGCUCCACCACUGCCCGGCAGUGUGUUCUUGGCUGAUGGGUUCCCAGGCAUUAGAAGCUUCUCCAGUCCUCACCACAUCUUGGUUUUACCGAAGAGGAAACUGAGGUUAAGACUGUGUCUUGCUGGUCAACUGCACAGGUGGGAUUCGAACCUGCCUCCGAUUAGGAGGCGCUCCUAAAUUUGAGCCAGGCAGCCUCCCUUGGACUGGCAAAUCGAGCCCUCACAGGGCGGGCCACCACCUUCGCGAGGAGGGGUUGGGCUGAAUCGCUAAGCAUUCUUUUUUUGUGUGCCGGAAAGGCUUUGAAAUUUUUUCAGGUAAACGAUUUGGCCGCUCCCCGGGAAGGAUGGAAAGGACACCCAGGGUGGGGGACCUCCAGCUUGUUGAGGGAGAGCCCCCUAAGAGCGGGACAGGGAGGGCAGCUCUUCUUCGAAGCAAAGCCCAGGUUGAAGCCUUCGCACCUGGAUUUUUCGAGUUUAUCCAUCUGCUCAGUCUGUCCUGUGUAGCCCACGUCUUCAGAAGACCAGGUCUUGGGGGGCGGAGGAUAAGGCACAAGGCCCACACCAGGGUACAGGUGUGGCCAGACGCCCGACUCUUUCACCCCCUACAGGGGCACCUCUCUGAGGGAAGGUCCUCCUAGCGGCAGAGAAAUUGGCUGGGGGGGAGUGGAGGGAGGCGGACGGGGACUGCUGGCUGGGCAAGGAAGGCUGGAAUCCAGGCUCCCCAGCCACCCCAUCCCAAGCUCCCGCUGCAAGGUCGCGGCAUGGCAGCCCCGACAGGCCACGCGUCCCUCGACACAAGUCCCAUUACAUUGUAUUUAUGUUUCACUUUAUUGUUUUUUUUUUUCCUCCUCUCUUAUUAUUGUCUCACUCUGGGGGAGGCAAAAGAUAUAAUAUAUUCAUCUUUAUUAUACCAAAUCUGUGUGAAGCAUUUAAUAAAACGCUGUUUCCACACAGCCAGGGAUUAGUGUGAGCUAUUCUUAAGUUAAUGCUCGUGUACGGAGGGCGCCUCCGCCGCAACGCCUGCUGCUGGCGGCCG
ensembl:lncRNA